UACGUAGGGGCCGAGCGUUGUCCGGAUUUAUUGGGCGUAAAGAGCUCGUAGGCGGCUUGUCGCGUCAACUGUGAAAACCCGUGGCUCAACCAUGUGGUCUGCAGUCGAUACGGGCAGGCUAGAAUUCGGUAGGGGAGACUGGAAUUCCUGGUGUAGCGGUGAAAUGCGCAGAUAUCAGGAGGAACACCGGUGGCGAAGGCGGGUCUCUGGGCCGAUAUUGACGCUGAGGAGCGAAAGCGUGGGGAGCGAACAGG
rnacentral:rRNA from 1 species